UACGUAGGUGGCAAGCGUUGUCCGGAUUUAUUGGGCGUAAAGGGUGCGCAGGCGGUUUAUUAAGUCUGAUGUGAAAGCCCACGGCUUAACUGUGGAAGGUCAAUUGAUACUGGUGAACUUGAGUGCAGAAGAGGAGAGUGGAAUUCGAAGUGUAGCGGUGAAAUGCUUAGAUAUAUGGAGGAACACCAGUGGCGAAGGCGACUCUCUGGACUGUCGCUGACGCUGAGGCACGAAAGCGUGGGGAGCAAACAGG
rnacentral:rRNA from 1 species